rnacentral:rRNA from 1 species
GACGAACGCUGGCGGCGUGCUUAACACAUGCAAGUCGAACGGAAAGGCCCUUCGGGGUACUCGAGUGGCGAACGGGUGAGUAACACGUGGGUGAUCUGCCCUGCACUUUGGGAUAAGCCUGGGAAACUGGGUCUAAUACCGAAUAGGACCACGCGCUUCAUGGUGUGUGGUGGAAAGCUUUUACGGUGUGGGAUGGGCCCGCGGCCUAUCAGCUUGUUGGUGGGGUAAUGGCCUACCAAGGCGACGACGGGUAGCCGGCCUGAGAGGGUGACCGGCCACACUGGGACUGAGAUACGGCCCAGACUCCUACGGGAGGCAGCAGUGGGGAAUAUUGCACAAUGGGCGCAAGCCUGAUGCAGCGACGCCGCGUGAGGGAUGACGGCCUUCGGGUUGUAAACCUCUUUCAAUAGGGACGAAGCGCAAGUGACGGUACCUAUAGAAGAAGCACCGGCCAACUACGUGCCAGCAGCCGCGGUAAUACGUAGGGUGCGAGCGUUGUCCGGAAUUACUGGGCGUAAAGAGCUCGUAGGUGGUUUGUCGCGUUGUUCGUGAAAACUCACAGCUUAACUGUGGGCGUGCGGGCGAUACGGGCAGACUAGAGUACUGCAGGGGAGACUGGAAUUCCUGGUGUAGCGGUGGAAUGCGCAGAUAUCAGGAGGAACACCGGUGGCGAAGGCGGGUCUCUGGGCAGUAACUGACGCUGAGGAGCGAAAGCGUGGGGAGCGAACAGGAUUAGAUACCCUGGUAGUCCACGCCGUAAACGGUGGGUACUAGGUGUGGGUUCCUUCCUUGGGAUCCGUGCCGUAGCUAACGCAUUAAGUACCCCGCCUGGGGAGUACGGCCGCAAGGCUAAAACUCAAAGGAAUUGACGGGGGCCCGCACAAGCGGCGGAGCAUGUGGAUUAAUUCGAUGCAACGCGAAGAACCUUACCUGGGUUUGACAUGCACAGGACGCCGGCAGAGAUGUCGGUUCCCUUGUGGCCUGUGUGCAGGUGGUGCAUGGCUGUCGUCAGCUCGUGUCGUGAGAUGUUGGGUUAAGUCCCGCAACGAGCGCAACCCUUGUCCUAUGUUGCCAGCGGGUUAUGCCGGGGACUCGUAGGAGACUGCCGGGGUCAACUCGGAGGAAGGUGGGGAUGACGUCAAGUCAUCAUGCCCCUUAUGUCCAGGGCUUCACACAUGCUACAAUGGCCGGUACAAAGGGCUGCGAUGCCGUGAGGUGGAGCGAAUCCUUUCAAAGCCGGUCUCAGUUCGGAUCGGGGUCUGCAACUCGACCCCGUGAAGUCGGAGUCGCUAGUAAUCGCAGAUCAGCAACGCUGCGGUGAAUACGUUCCCGGGCCU